GAUGGACAUCAGCGAUUCAUUUUGUGAACCCUGACCCACCGCGAGAUAGGCAUUCAUUCCCAAUUCUUUCAUUUGUUCUUCACCGAUCACGCGAGUGGUCAGCUUGCUGUCUGAAAGAUCUGCUAAUUGGCGUGCCUGAGACGCUAAAUAACCUGCAUUACAGAUAUUUGGCGGCAUAUUGCUCAAGUCUUUAGC
rnacentral:antisense_RNA from 1 species